UGCGCAGGUGGGAUUGUAAGUCAGUGGUGAAAUGCUGCCGCUUAACGGUAGAAUUGCCAUUGAUACUGCAAAUCUUGAGUAUGGUUGAGGUAGGCGGAAUGUGUCGUGUAGCGGUGAAAUGCAUAGAUAUGACACAGAACGCCGAUUGCGAAGGCAGCUUACUAAGCCAUUACUGACGCUGAGGCACGAAAGCGUGGGGAGCGAACAGGAUUAGAUACCCUGGUAGUCC
rnacentral:rRNA from 1 species